UCCUCAUUGGUCCAGUGGUUAGGAUUUCUCGCUCUCACCGAGACGGCCGGGGUUCGAUUCCCCGAUGGGGAA
rfam:Basidiobolus meristosporus CBS 931.73 K493scaffold_686, whole genome shotgun sequence.